rnacentral:rRNA from 1 species
AUACGUAGGGGGCGAGCGUUGUCCGGAAUGAUUGGGCGUAAAGGGCGCGUAGGCGGCCGCUUAAGUCUGGAGUGAAAGCCCUGUUUUCAAGAUGGGAAUUGCUUUGGAUACUGGGGGGCUUGAGUGCAGGAGAGGUUAUCGGAAUUCCCGGUGUAGCGGUGAAAUGCGUAGUGAUCGGGAGGAACACCGGUGGCGAAGGCGGCUAACUGGGCUGCCACUGACGCUGAUGCACGAAAGUGUGGGGAGCAAACAGGAUUAGAUGCCCUGGUAGUCCACGCUGUAAACGAUGAAUGCUAGUUGUAAGUGGUAUCGAACCCAUUUGUGCCGAAGUAAACACAAUAAGCUUUCCGCCUGGGGAGUACGGUCGCAAGGUUGAAACUUAAAGGAAUUGACGGGG